rnacentral:rRNA from 1 species
GACAGAGGUGCCGAGCGUUAGGCGGAAUCACUGGGCUUAAAGCGUGUGUAGGCGGGCGAUCAAGUACCUUGUGAAAUCCCACGGCUCAACCGUGGAACCGCUGGGUAUACUGGUUGUCUUGAGCCGGCUAGGGGCGAGCGGAACAGACGGUGGAGCGGUGAAAUGCGUAGAUAUCGUCUGGGACGCCGAAGGUGAAAACAGCUCGCUGGGGCCGCGCUGACGCUGAGACACGAAAGCCAGGGGAGCGAACGGG